CCUACGGGAGGCAGCAGUGAGGAAUAUUGGUCAAUGGACGAGAGUCUGAACCAGCCAAGUAGCGUGAAGGAUGACUGCCCUAUGGGUUGUAAACUUCUUUUAUAUAGGAAUAAAAUGUUCCACGUGUGGGAUUUUGUAUGUACCAUAUGAAUAAGGAUCGGCUAACUCCGUGCCAGCAGCCGCGGUAAUACGGAGGAUCCGAGCGUUAUCCGGAUUGAUUGGGUUUAAAGGGAGCGUAGGUGGGUUGUUAAGUCAGUUGUGAAAGUUUGCGGCUCAACCGGAAAAUUGCAGUUGAAACUGGCAGUCUUGAGUACAGGAGAGGUGGGCGGAAUUCGUGGUGUAGCGGUGAAAUGCUUAGAUAUCACGAAGAACUCCGAUUGCGAAGGCAGCUCACUGGACUGCAACUGACACUGAGGCUCGAAAGUGUGGGUAUCAAACAGGAUUAGAUACCCUAGUAGUC
rnacentral:rRNA from 1 species